UUUAAUGUUGUUUGCUUUUCAGGCCUUCUUCCCAGCAGCAUCUUAAUUUCUAAUGAUUGCAAAGUUUGCGUGCUUAAGCUUUAGCAAUAUUUCAUGUGUAGUUUAGUAAUCUUAUUUGUUGGUUCUUUAAGAUUGAAGAUGGUGUUAAACUCCAUACCGUAAACACAAAACAUCAAUAGCGGUGAUCUUUCUCAUUCAUCAUCUGUGAAGUUUCUGUGCCCAUGAUUCGAGGAAAGAUGACAUCUGCCUCUCUCUCUUCGCCUAAGUAGGAGUGUUGAUUGUACACUUAGUUGAUAGAUCUUCCACUCGUUUUGUCCUGCAAAUGCAACUAAUGCUAUUUUUGCAUAAUGUCGUGCAAUUGGUGCAAAUAUCUGAUAGUCAACUUCAAAUUGUUGUGAGUUAUCCCUUUGCAACUAGUCUUGUUUUAUAUUUUUGAAUUGAUUUAUCAUGUUUGAGCUUUGUCUU